CUACUUUUUGACUUUCACCACCAUUUUCCCCACCACUUUCACCACCAACUCAAUUAUGCAACAACACAUAUUGUUUCAGCCAUCAAGUCUUUUCUUCCCUCACCAAAACGUGUAGAAGAAGUUGAGAAAGGGAGAGAGAGUUUCCUCCAACUCCAAAUUGUAACUUGAAGAGGUCAAACACGAGAUUAAUAAUCAGUCAAGGAGCUACUGUACCACAGAAAAUUUCUAUCAGGUGGGCAUUACUUUCAUAUAUAUCAAAUGAGUUUAAAUGUUACGUUCAAGCAAGUUAUUUCAUGACUAAAUUAAUUGAAGUUAUUUCAAAUAUUGUCUUGCCAUAAAAUGUUUAAAUUUCAGUAUGAUAUCUAUCUGAUGUGACUUUAAUCAUGUAAUCGAAUUCGGGUCUUGAGCAGUUGAUAGCUAUCCUGCCAGGGCUAGUGUACACCAGUGACCGUGAGUCAUCUAGCGGGUUGGCCGGUCAAGUGACCGUGAGAGGUGGCCACCUCUCCGGCACAAAGUUCCAGAUAUGAUAGAUUACAAGAGAACUUAGUCUGCAGACGAACUUUAAGAAUCACAAAUGAAUUUAGUAAGCUUGGGCCUUUUAGCGAAAAACUCCCUUGCUGUACUGUUUAUGAUGGCAUGACAAUUUACAGUUUUGAAGCAUGUAUUUUUAUAAUUAGGCAUACGUGUCCACUGAGUACUUUUGUACUCAAGCCCUGCAUAUAUUUCUAAAUGUGCAGGUUGAGCAGCUGCCGAUGGUGAUGAAGUGACGAGCGGGAUUCUUUUGUCUUAUUAUGUAUUAAUGAACUCUAGGGUUACAUGUCUUCAUACAUGUAAUCAGAACCUUAUUCCGCUGCGUACUCAGAAGUUUUAUGUUAUUUUGGAUAAGUCGGAGUUAUCCGAACUUGUUAGUUAUUUGAGUCUAUACGACAAAAACUCUGUUAUAUUAUAGAUAUCCAUGUUGUUAACAAUGAUGAAAUACGAUCCUUUCUUGUUUGAUUA